AUGGCCUAGGUUAAUGGUAGACCGUUCGUCUUCCAAACGAAGUGUACCGAUUCGAAUUCGGUUGGCCAUA
rnacentral:tRNA from 1 species